rnacentral:tRNA from 1 species
GGAAGAUGAUGCGACAUGGUGUCGCCGCCCGCUCGAAACGGGAUGAUGCCCCGCAGGGCAUGCGGUUCGAUUCCGUCGUCUUCCGCCA